CUACAGUGUAACCAAGAGCAUCGGCAAUAUCCUGUAAUGUUUGGGGGUCUAUGGGACUCUAGUUGCCCAUAACUCCAAAGAUUUUCAGAGUUUGGGGACAGUCAAAUGAAGCAUGUCAGAAACCGGGAACCCAGAAGUAAACAGAGGCAAACUCAAAAAUAUGCUCCAAAUGUGCACCUGAUGGCCACAUUUAAGGGAAAUCUCCUCAAAAUGUAAAAAGAUACACUGGCUAGAAUGGUUUACAUAGAAGCCCUUCAAGCAAGUCAGAGAGCAGAGAAAGACUGGGAAGACGUCGGUUCACCACGAGUUAGCUGAGUGCAUCCCACACGGGAUAAACUGAAGCAGAAUCUGCAAUGAGAUCAUUAGUGUGUGCCAUCCUGGUCCUGUAGUCAGACUGCACGCAUAUUUAAUACAUUGAGCCCACCUUGAAAUGUCCCUCAGACCCAAGAGAACAAAGUACAAGGAAAAAUCAGGAGGAGGGGAAGACGCCAAGUGAUCCAUACGGCUGUCAAUGUCACCCUCUGCGCUGAUCAGAAGAAGGAAGGUAACAGAGAAAGCUCUGCAGUGCUGGUUCAGCGGCCUGCCACCCAACUCUGUGACAAGUCGACCAGGAGGAGAUGGCCAUAUCAUUACGGACUGUAUC